ACUUUAACAAACCCUAAAACAUUCUUGUGAGAUCUGCAGCGCCGUUCUGUGUUCUCACAUCCAUCGCCAUAUCUUUCAUGUAAGUUGUGAGGUUGCGGAAGCUUUUUCAUGAUGGAAAUAGUUGGCAGUAAUUGAUCAUCCAACAACUGUGAUUUCUUUGAUUAAAGAUUUUGAACCAACCCCUAUGCUACAGAUUGAAGGGACUACAGAAACCACUCCUGAAACUCCCAAACAACUUCAAGAGACCACACCCACGAUUCCCCCAGCUCCAACUAAAAUUCAUCCAGCCGCAGAAGACGCUGCUGCCCUGUUGAUGAUGGCACAGACAGCAACCUAUGUUCCUAAAACAGAUCCAGGGGUGCCAUCAUUCAGCCUUGGAUUGACUGAUUCAAGCCAGGAGGGGGCGUCAACGCAGGAGACAAAAAGGGCAAAAUCUCUUGAAACUGCAAAUUUGCUAGAAUAAUUGGACGAUUUGGUCCAAAAAAUAGCAAGCAGUGCGGCGAAGGGAAAAAACAAAAGUCCACAAAUUCAGAGGGAGACUGGGGGAGAAAGUUCUGCGAAGUUUGAAACUCCUGGGGCAAUAAAUUAGAUUACGGAUGAUAUGAAACAAAAGUGCUACAUCUGGGGGACGAGACUGAAGGAAGACACAGAUGGCAAUACUAACGAGUAUGAGGAGAUGUGCACUCUCAUUGCCCAAGAUGAAUACAUUUUGAUGAGUAUGCACCUUGCAUCCCUCCAGGCAAAAAGUGAUAUAGAAUCUCAGAUUGUAUCUGCCAUCUGCCUCAUCCUCAACCAGAAAAAUGAAAAGAGGUUUCAAGAACAAAUAUACUGUCUCCUCCCCGAUAUUGUGAGCAUGGCACUUUUGGAUCACCCAAAUUGGGAAUUCAUAUCACCGAAAACGAAUAAGGAAUUCAGAGUGGAAGGCUAACCGAGUUUUAUUCCCUUCAUAGAUAGAAAAAAAUUAACUUCACAUCCAUAUAUUUUUGCACCUGUUUGCCACUCGGGGCAUUGGUGGUUAUGGCUGAUAAAUACAACGAAGCGGAAAUGUCAUAUACUUGACCCGCUACACAAAAAAGCUCCAAGCGAAGAGAGAAAGUAGAUUAAUAAAUUCAUUGGAUAUGUAUUUUCAAGAUUGAGAGCAUAUGCCGGCGGGGAACCUCUGGAGAAAGACGAGAAGGAGAAGGAAAUUAAAGCAUCAUAUGUUACAAUAUCAGGCCAAAAAACAAGCUAUUACUGCGCUAUCUACGUUAUGAAGUGGCUUGAGUUAAUUGAGCCGGAAAACAUUAAAAAGGAGAAGUAUAAAUGGGAUAAUUGGAAACAGGAGGAGGUGGACCACUAUAGAGUGGAGUAUGCUUCCCGGAUACUAUUCAGUGAGAUGAAUAAACAGAGAGAUCGGGCAAUUAGAGAGAGUAGUGCUAUAAGGCUGUCGAAGCCAUCCUCUGUAUUAUUGAGUCCGUUUUGUCAGAUAAAUUCUGCUGAUAUAGAAACUGCGUAAUCCAACUGCUGGGUAGUUUGUAAAUUGAACAAAUGAUGUAAAUAUUUGCCAUUUAUCAACAACUUCUAUUGCAUGUAUAUUUUUUUC